GAAGAACUCAGAGUCGGGAAGAGGAGGAGGGUAGAAAUUCCCCCAAUUUCAGACUGAGGAGGUCCGUGACAGCGUGCUUGUGUAGGUUGAUUGGGCUAAGCGAUUGGAUAAUAGCAAGCGGUGAAGUCGGAUUUGAGGCUUCUCGAGGACUCGAUGUAUUAAUUCAUUGAGGAUGUGAGAGAAAGAGAUCGUCACUCCUUACCGGCCGCAGGAGCCAAAAGAGCUCGAGCAGGAGGACAUGGUCACCGGCAAAUUGGAGGAGGAAGUGCCGAUGGUACCUGCUGGUGUUUGGAUUGGUAAGGUUCUCGACAAAGAUGGAGCUAAGCAAGAUGAGGUCUGCA
rnacentral:lncRNA from 1 species